rnacentral:rRNA from 1 species
AUGUCGUCGUCCCUGGCGUCCUCCUCGUACCGCCGCAGGAUCCUCGACUCCAAGGCGGCGGCCUCCCACGCGCUCUACUCCUGCCGGCUCCCCUCCCGCUCCAGGCAGCCGGCCCACACCAGGAUUGGCGCCGCCGCCAGAGUUCAUGGAGUUGAGAGUAGCAUCAUCAGUGUCCUAACUAUGCAUCACUGGGAGACCUUGAAUCACAUGGCGUACAAGUUCGGGAAGCUUGACAAGGUUCAUGGAAAGUUAGCCUUGAAGAUACUGGGUUCUAUUGUGCAACAAUCAGGUUUGGAGCGAAUCACUCAUGUUUACUGCCUGGCAGCUCAUAUCCUCAUCCAAGCUCAAAUGCAUUCACAAGCAAUGUCAGUGUUGAAGCAUCUUGCCAUGGCGGGCUUCUCUUGCUCUGCUAUAUUUAGCUCCCUUCUCCGAACCAUCUCGCGUUGUGAUUCCAGUCCCAUGGUUUUUGACCUUCUUAUCAAUGCAUAUCUAAAGGAAAGAAAAGUUGUUGAUGCAAGUAAGGCAAUUUUAUUGAUGGAUGACUGUGGAUUUAAGGCUUCAACUCACACCUGCAAUGCUGUCCUUAACGCUCUUGUGGAAGUUGGGGAAUCAAAACAUGUUUGGUUCUUCUUAAAAGAAAGCUUGGCCCGGAAGUUCCCAUUGGAUGUCACCACUUGUAAUAUUGUACUGAAUUAUUUUUGCCUUGAUGGUAACCUUAAAAAGGCUAAUCUUAUGCUACAAAAGAUGAAGAGUCGGUCCAUAUCAAACGGUGUUACUUAUAACACAAUACUUUACUGGUAUGUUAAGAAGGGAAGGUUCAAGGCUGCCAUGCGUGUCUUAGAAGAUAUGGAGAAGAAUGGUGUACAGGCAGAUGUAUAUACUUAUAACAUCAUGAUUGAUAAGUUAUGUAAAAUGAAGAGGAGUACGCGUGCUUACCUUUUGCUCAAAAGAAUGAGGGGAAAUAACUUAUCACCUGAUGAGUGUACAUAUAAUACUUUGAUCAAAGGAUUUUUCGAUGAAGGUAAGAUGAAACUUGCUAUCUAUAUCUUCAAUGAAAUGCUGAAACAGAGCUUGAAGCCAAGCCUAGCUACUUACACCACCUUGAUUGAUGGGUACUGCCGAAGUGGGGUAACUGGUGAAGCUUUAAGAGUUCUGUAUGAAAUGCAAGUUGCUGGUGUGAAACCAAAUGAAUUAACUUAUAGUGCAAUGCUGAAUGGUUAUUGCAAAGCUUCCAUGCCGGGACAUGCACUGAAUCUUAUUGAAGAUAUGAAAGCAAGAGGCACAACAAUCAAUAGGACUAUGUAUACUAUCCUGAUUGAUGGUUUCUGUCAGCUAGGAGUGGUUUCUAAAGCCAAGCAAAUUUUAAAGAGUAUGCUUGUGGUUGGGAUCAGUCCAGAUGUUGUUACUUAUUCAGCAUUGAUCAAUGGUAUGUGCAAGAUGGGUAAGUUGGACGAAACAAAAGAGAUAUUAUCAAGGAUGCAUAAAACAGGAGUUUUGCCUAAUGAGGUUCUUUAUACAACUCUAGUUUGCUAUUGUUGCAAGGCUGGAUAUAUCGGAGAAGCACUAAAGUAUUUUGUUGAUAUAUAUCGGAGGGGCCUAGCUGCCAAUUCAUUCAUCCAUAAUACAUUGUUAUGUACGCUGUAUCGAGAAGGAAUGGUUACACAGGCUGAGCAAUUUAAACAAUACAUGUCUAGGAUGAAGAUAUCAUUUGAUGUUGCCUCUUUCAACUGUAUAAUAGACUUUUACUGCACCAGAGGUAAUAUGCAUGAGGCAUUCUCAGUGUAUGAUAAUAUGCAUAGAUUUGGUUGUUCUCCAAAUGUUGGCACAUAUAGGAAUUUGCUUAGAGGGUUAUGCAAGGGCGGCCACUUGGUACAAGCAAAGGAGUUCAUGGCUUGCCUUGUUGACAUACCUUCUGCCAUUGAUCAGGAAACCUUCAAUGCAUUACUUCUGGGGAUUUGCAAAGACGGAACUCUAGAUGAAGCUCUGGAUUUAUGUGAGAAAAUGGUUACAAGUAACUUUCUACCUGACAUCCAUACUUACACUGUUCUUCUUAGUGGUUUUUGCAGAAAAGGCAAAAUUGUUCCUGCAGUCAUCCUGUUGCAGAUGAUGUUGGAGAAAGGAUUUGUCCCUGAUAUUGUUUCAUAUACCUGUUUGUUGAAUGGCUUGAUCAAGGAAGGUCAAGUUAAGGUUGCUUCUUACCUGUUCCAGGAGAUCAUAUGCAAGGAAGGCAUGUAUGCAGAUUGUAUUGCCUACAACUCAAUGAUGAACGGGUACCUAAAGGCAGGAAUGAUACAUAAAGUAGAUAUGACGAUUCGGGAUAUGUAUCAUAAUGAGGUUUAUCCAAACCCAGCCAGCUAUAACAUUCUUAUGCAUGGGCACAUCAAGAAGGGACAUUUGUCAAGAUCUGUUUAUCUAUACAAAGAUAUGGUAAGGAAAGGGAUUAGGCCGAACAAUGUGACAUAUCGUUUGCUUAUCCAUGGAUUUUCGGAACAUGGUAUGACUGAAAUUGCGAUUAAGUUCUUGGACAAGAUGGUCUUAGAACGCAUUUAUCCGGAUAGAUUAACAUUUGAUGUACUCAUAACUGUAUGUAGUGAAAAAUCUAGGAUGUCCAAUGCUUUACAGCUCUUCAACUGCAUGAAGCGGUUAUAUAUGUCACCUAGCAGUAAAGCAUACAGUGCCAUGAUAAAUGGAUUAAUCAGGAAAAAUUGGCUGCAGCAGAGUUGUGAUGUUUUACGUGACAUGGUCGAGAGUGGACUUGAACCGAAUCAUACACACUAUAUUGCAUUAAUCAAUGCAAAAUGCAGGCUUGGGGACAUCAAUGGAGCAUUCAGGCUGAAAGAGGAAAUGGCAGCUCUUGGUGUUGUGCCAGCUGAAGUUGCUGAAAGCUCAAUUGUUAGAGGUCUUAGUAAAUGUGGAAAGGUUGAAGAGGGUAUCAUAGUUUUCUGUAGCAUAAUACGGGCUGGAAUGGUGCCAACCAUUGCUACUUUCACUACCCUAAUGCAUGGUCUCUGUAAAGAAGGCAAGAUUACAGAUGCUCUGCACCUCAAAGGGUCAAUGGAGUUGUAUGGAUUGAAGAUUGAUGUAGUCACUUAUAAUGUUCUAAUCACAGGUUUAUGCAACAACAAGUGUGUUUCUGAUGCGUUAGAUCUUUAUGAAGAGAUGAAAUCUAAGCAACUUCGGCCGAACAUUACAACAUACACCACAAUGAUUGGGGCUAUCUAUGCAACAGGCAGAAUGUUGGAAGGAGAGAAACUACUGAAUGAUAUAGAGGAUAGGGGCUUUGUUCCCUCAUAUAAGGAUCAAAUUCUUGAAUGGAGGAUGGAGAAUGCAAUGAGAAGGUUGAACGUGAUAAGAAAUUGCAAAAAGGAAAUAACUUCUAAGAAUGAGGUCGAGCUAUUACAUGCAGAUCAUGAAUCCAUGCAUAAAGCUGCUGAAGACUGA